UGGAUGUACUUUAUUAAAAUGGUGUUUUGAACACAGAGAUAUAUGAUUUUAGUCUGUUCACAGUUACUCUAAUACAUACAUUUAAAACAAUGGUCAAAGCAGCAAUUACAUCAACUCACUAGGAAAAAGUACAAAGUACACCCAAGUAGCACUUUGGUUAAAUUGUAAAACAGUGUACACAGGAGAACUUCAGCAGAAAUUAAAUUAACUUGGGACAUAUUAAGCUGCUAAGUUUUGUACUGGAAUCCAAUGUACUAGAUGAGUCAUUCUUGGAGGGGGGAAGAACUCUAUUGUUUCACAGCCCAGAAUACUCAACUGACCAUCAGUGGACCAGCUGAGCCACCUAACAACCAGUGGGAGCUGCCCAAGUCCAUGGGUCUCAUUCCAGAUACCAAAAGCAACAGGGAAGUCAUCAGAAUUUGGCUUGCAAAGAAACGGCAUUUUAUUUCUGCUUAAGUCAUCCAGGUAGGUUCUACCUGUCUACAGGACAGCUGGGGAACACCACCGGCAUUAGAGCCAAUAAACACCAUGGUGUGAGAUACAGCCAACCUGGUUAUGGAUGAAACCAGAGCAUGCUAAUAUUCAGAGUCAUAAAAAUGAAACUACAAGAAGGUGAGGAGCCAGCUGGAAGGAAAAAAGUCCAAAGGAAUGAAGGAGAAGAGAAAAUGGGCCGAAUGAUCUACAAACAAGAAAACAAAUCCCUGAACAAAGAGAGUGGACUCUAAUGCUUUUCCAAAAAGUAUGAUGACAGUAAGGUUCUCAAAAAAGGGCAGGAAACAUCUUAUAAGAUGGCGAAUAGAGCCAUCCUAGUCAUCUUCUAUAAUCCUCAUCAGUAAACAUGCCCGUGAGAGAGGCCACUGUGGGUGCCAGGAAAAUCCCAGCCCUCACUCUGCAACUGGCCUUAUCAGUGAAAUGAGAAUUUCCAUCCCUAUGCUCUCAACUGAAAAUUGUGAAAUGUUAUUUCUGUGGUGCUUUGACUUCCUUUAAAUAAAAAGAUGAACCAAACACGGAUUAAUAUUGCAUGAUUCACUUUCAAAUCAGUUACGAGGUCUGUAUGCAUACAUUUAAAUGGUCACUGCAGAAGUUUUCAAGAUUACCUUUAGGAACAAAAGAUUUGGGGGUCAGCUAACUAGAAAACACCAACUACAUUUUUCUGAAUGCUUUUGAUAAAUUUAGUCAAAAUCAGAAACAUUUUACUUUCAAAAUUUAAGGACAUACAAUACGUAAAUUUUAAAAUUCAGCUGACAUGUCCUUGUGUUUAACAAAUAAAAACAAAAAUAUCACUAGUUACCACAAAGCUGCAAGACCAAAGUCUUUUAGAAGUGGGAGAAAACAUAUCUUCCUUCUGAAGAUUAAACAGAGUAGUGCAUGUUACCCAUUGUCUUUUUUUUUUUUUUAAGAUUUUAUUUAUUUAUUUGACAGAGACACAGUGAGAGAGGGAACACAAGCAGGGGGAAUGGGAGAGGGAGAAGCAG